rnacentral:misc_RNA from 1 species
UACGGAGGGUGCAAGCGUUAUCCGGAUUCACUGGGCUUAAAGGGUGCGUAGGCGGGAUGAUAAGUCAGUGGUGAAAGCCUGCGGCUUAACCGUAGAAUUGCCAUUGAUACUGUCGUUCUUGAGUGCAGUUGAAGUGGGCGGAAUGUGGCAUGUAGCGGUGAAAUGCAUAGAUAUGCCACAGAACACCGAUUGCGAAGGCAGCUCACUAACCUGCUACUGACGCUGAGGCACGAAAGCGUGGGGAGCGAACAGG